GAUGAACGCUGGCGGCGUGCCUAAUACAUGCAAGUCGAGCGAACGGACGAGAAGCUUGCUUCUCUGAUGUUAGCGGCGGACGGGUGAGUAACACGUGGAUAACCUACCUAUAAGACUGGGAUAACUUCGGGAAACCGUAGCUAAUACCGGAUAAUAUUUUGAACCGCAUGGUUCAAAAGUGAAAGACGGUCUUGCUGUCACUUAUAGAUGGAUCCGCGCUGCAUUAGCUAGUUGGUAAGGUAACGGCUUACCAAGGCAACGAUGCAUAGCCGACCUGAGAGCGUGAACGGCCACACUGUAACUGAGACACGGUCCAGACUCCUACGGGAGGCAGCAGUAGGGAAUCUUCCGCGAUGGACGAAAGCCUGACGGAGCAACGUCGCGUGAGUGAUGAAGGUCUUCGGAUCGUAAAACGCUGUUAUUAGGGAAGAACAUAUGUGUAAGUAACUGUGCACAUCUUGACGGUACCUAAUCAGAAAGCCACGGCUAACUACGUG
rnacentral:rRNA from 1 species